rnacentral:rRNA from 1 species
AGCGAACGCUGGCGGCAGGCCUAACACAUGCAAGUCGAACGAAGUCUUCGGACUUAGUGGCGGACGGGUGAGUAACACGUGGGAACGUACCUUUUGGUUCGGAACAACACAGGGAAACUUGUGCUAAUACCGGAUGAGCCCUUAGGGGGAAAGAUUUAUCGCCGAAAGAGCGGCCCGCGUUGAAUUAGGUAGUUGGUGUGGUAAAGGCGCACCAAGCCUACGAUCCAUAGCUGGUCUGAGAGGAUGAUCAGCCACACUGGGACUGAGACACGGCCCAGACUCCUACGGGAGGCAGCAGUGGGGAAUCUUGCGCAAUGGGCGAAAGCCUGACGCAGCCAUGCCGCGUGAAUGAUGAAGGUCUUAGGAUUGUAAAAUUCUUUUACCAGGGACGAUAAUGACGGUACCUGGAGAAAAAGCCCCGGCUAACUUCGUGCCAGCAGCCGCCGUAAUAC